AACGAAAGCUGGCGGCAUGCCUAACACAUGCAAGUCGAACGAGACCUUCGGGUCUAGUGGCGCACGGGUGCGUAACGCGUGGGAACCUGCCCUUAGGUUCGGAAUAACUCCCCGAAAGGGGUGCUAAUACCGGAUAAUGUCUUCGGACCAAAGAUUUAUCGCCUUUGGAUGGGCCCGCGUUGGAUUAGCUAGUUGGUAGGGUAAAAGCCUACCAAGGCGACGAUCCAUAGCUGGUCUGAGAGGAUGAUCAGCCACACUGGGACUGAGACACGGCCCAGACUCCUACGGGAGGCAGCAGUGGGGAAUAUUGGACAAUGGGCGAAAGCCUGAUCCAGCAAUGCCGCGUGAGUGAUGAAGGCCUUAGGGUUGUAAAGCUCUUUUACCCGGGAUGAUAAUGACAGUACCGGGAGAAUAAGCGCCGGCUAACUCCGUG
rnacentral:rRNA from 1 species